rnacentral:lncRNA from 1 species
GGGUGGGUAUGGGGGACAUUCUUUCUUUCUUUCUUUCUUUCUUUCUUUCUUUCUUUCUUUCUUUCUUUCUUUCUUUCUUUCUUUCUUUCUUUCUUUUUUAUUCUCAUGUCACCAAUCUUCCAGUAAACCGGGGAGGUGAACACCAUGCAUGUUCUCCCCAGUGCUCUCAGUCUUGAUAUUUAAUCCCAGAAGGUUCAAUAUGUGCCAUUGGGAAGUUCUGCAGUCCGCUGUUCAGUGUAACAAGAUUCCAGCCUGGCAAACAUACCAGUCCUAGGACUGCCACCCAACAAAAUGAGACUUAGCUUUCUGAGGAAGCGCUGUCUGUCCAAGGAUGAGCACAGUUCACUAGACAACAGAGAAGGAAUGAAAAUCUGCAGUUUUAGGUGCAGAUUUCAUGGUGUGUCUGUGACCAGCUGACUAGAGAGCUUUUGGUUUAAUCAUGGACUGAACUUGAUUGAACCCCCAUGAUAGUCUUUAGAAAUUAUGCUGUCUGCAUUUUCCACAUAAUUAAGGUUCUGGGUGUUUAGAAGUAUAUUUGCCU